rnacentral:rRNA from 1 species
CCCUUAGAUGUUCAGGGCUGCACACGUGCUACACUGGCAGGUUCAGCGAGCUUCAUGCCCUGAUCUGAAAGGAAUGGGAAAUCUUUUCAAAACCUGCCGUGCUUGGGAUAGAUGUUUGCAAUUAUUCAUCUUCAACGAGGAUUGCCUUGUAAGCGCACGUCAUCAGCGUGCAUUGAAUACGACCCUGUAUUCUGUACACACCGCCCGUCGCUCCUACCGAUUGAAGUUUUCGGUGAGUUGACAGGAGGAUUUUUUUGAAACUGGUUCGCCAGUGGAUUUUAGAUCCAAAUGCCAACGAAUCGAUGGCUUUAGAGGAAGGAGAAGUCGUAACAA